rnacentral:lncRNA from 1 species
GUUGUAGCACAUAUAAAUGCAAUUUCCAGGCACUGACUAUAACUUUUGAGAGGACUUUUUCCUCAGCCAAAAAAAAAAAAAAAAAUACUGCUUUUGUAUUUGUCAAAUGUUUUACAUGAUGAGGACAAUGUAGUGGUGAUUAUUGCUUGGAGAGGUUAUUGUUUGUUUUGGGGGGUUUUUGUUUGUUGAAACAAUGUCUCAUUAUGUAGUUCAGGCUGACCUUGAACUUCUGGCAAUCCUUCUCCCUCAGCCUCUCAAGUGCUGGUAUUACAGGCGUGCACUACCACACCCAACUGUAGAGCCGGGACCCAUGUACACUCCAACCAAGUCGGAGGACAAAGGCCCCAGCUGAAAUGAGGACUGCAUAUUUAAAGGGAAAAACCACAGAAGAAGUCUCUCCUCCCAUUCCCCUGGGUUACGGAUUGUUGCAGAAGCUGGUUACAGAAGCCAGGAUAAGCACAGAACACCUAUAGAAGCUAAAUCAUCAUCUCAGAGGUACUUGAAAUUAAACUCAACAUGAUGAGAAUACACUAAGAGAGGCUGAAGGACACAUUUUUGAAAGGGCUAGUGGAACUGGGAAUCAAAGACUUCUUAUGGCUAUGAGUUAUAGGCAUAGUCAAAGACUGCUAAUAGGUGUCUCUCUGCCAUGCCAACUUGCCUUGCGCCAGCUGAUUAGGGACUGAAACCUCUACGAACUCUGAGCUGAAAUAAACCUUUCCCCCUUUAACUUUGAGUGUUGAAUAUUUCGUCUCAGCAACAAGAAAAGUAACUGAGACAAUCUUCCUUGUGUACUUGUGGAAAGAGAUACAGAGAAGAAAGAAGAUAGGAUCCUGUUUAGGUCCCUGAGGUCAGGUGCAUGUGCAGCCCACCCACUGCUGGGUUCACGCUGUGUGUGCACCCUGCCCCAUUAUCCAGAACCAGAACCAUCCAAGAUUGGCAGCUCUGCCCUGUUACCACAGUACUGAAACUGCCCACGGGGCAGCUUUUCUCUGUUACCCCAGAGUCAGAACUACCUAGGGGGCACAGCUCUGCCCUGUUAGCCCAUGAUUGGCAGCUCUGCCAUGUUGCCACAGUGUCAAAGCUGCCCAUGGGGCAGCUCUGCCCUGUUUUCUGUCAUUGAUUAGUCCAGCAUCCCUGCUAGUCGUGAAGAAAUCUAUUGCUCAUGGCCAGAACAAGCAUUCUUGUUUUUGACACAUAACUAUUCCAAUCUGUGUCAACAGAUCAGGAAAGCAGCUAGGCUUUACUAAAAAAUUUACUCCACUGCCGCCUGCCUCGCAAGCGCAAGGACCCAAGUUCAAUCCCUGGUACCAAAAAAAAAAAAUUUUACUCCAGAGAUCUUUAUAUCUAGGGGCCUGUAACACACACAAGGAAAUCAGAGCAGUGGUGGCAAACCUACAGAGCCCUCUCUGCCGGCACGUGAGCCAAGUCCCCCAAGCAGCUGAGCAUCGGAUAACAGCUGUUUUUUCUAAACUGAAACCUCAGUGCUCAGGUUUAAUUGCAGUGUUGGCACUUCUACAGUAAAUAUGUGGGUUUGGGGUUGCAGUUUGAGGACUCAAUCUCUAAAAGGUUUGCCAUCACUGCCAUAGAGGGUUUUAAAAGUCUGGAGAUGGCGGUUAGCAACUGUAACAAAUGGCAGGGAGGGAUGAGACCACCCAAGCAGGCUAGUGAAACAAAGAGGUAUAGACUUUAUUCACCCGGGCAGAGGCGGACUGACCACAAGCAAAAGGUCAUCAGCACUGAACAAAGAAAAGGCAAGAAGCUUUAUAGGGCAUUGGAAGAGAGGUCUGACACUUGUGGGGUCAGAGCAAAUAUUUGUGGUUGGGGUCCAUGCAGCAAUCCAGGCAGAUGUACAGAUACAUUCUGGUGGCUUGGCAUUGAAAAGAUGCUGUGCUUUGUAGUUGUUAUCUCUAUGUUGGGAACAUCUCAUCCUGUAUUCUGUGUCCGAGAUAGCAUGGCAUUUGUCAGGCGGAGACAGCACUUGCAUCUGUCUCUGCUACCUGUUUUGUUGUGGUUUUUUGAAUCUUGUUAAACUAUAGCUUGGAAUUAAAGAGCAUAUUCAUUAACCAUUUUACUACCAGGUCAAGCCUGACAACAACUACAAAUCACAUACCAUUUUAGAUAGGGAGAUAAACAUGAGGGAAAAUUAUCACAGGAACACCAGAACCAAAUACAAUGGAGGGAGGAAGCAUGCUAGCACUAGAGAAGCAACCCUGAGAGGCCCCAGAAAGAAAAUCCCUGCAGGCAGGGCUGGAUGGGCAGCUGCCCUCGGAUCCAGGCAGGCCAUGGCAAACAACACUCAGAGCUGAAAUGGAGCCCUUCCUGAAGGCCCAGCAGGAGCACACUGAUGCCACGUGCUUCCCCUUCCCCCGCCCAUGUAGUGGGACACACUAGGAACUGUCCUGGAGCCAGGAGAGAACUUCCUGAGUUCCCCAGCUCCCAUCGACCCCCUCCACUCUCAAGAUCCUUGCUGCUCCCUGACA